rnacentral:rRNA from 1 species
UGCUGUUAGCCCACUUAUGGAAGGGCCGUAUUUAUUAGAUAACAGACCAAUAUUCUUCGUGUCUAUUGUGGUGAAUCAUAGUAACUAAUCGGAUCGUAUGGGCUAGUCCCUCGACAAACCAUUCAAGUUUCUGCCCCAUCAGCUUUCGAUGGUAGUGUAUUGGACUACCAUGGCUUUCACGGGUAACGGAGGAUUAGGGUUCGAUUCCGGAGAGGGAGCCUGAGAAACGGCUACCACAUCUAAGGAAGGCAGCAGGCGCGUAAAUUACCCAAUUCUGACUCAGAGAGGUAGUGACAAGAAAUACCGGGGCCGG